CGGGGGUCGCGGUGAGGCUGCUGCGGGUCACGGCCGGGGGCGGUGCUGGGCGGGCAGGGAGAGGUUGCUCUGUGUGGCGCAGGAGCCGGGGCGGCUCCGGUGGCUCUCGGGGCUGUGCCCCUUGAGCUGUCCGGGGAGAGGGGUCCGUGCGGGGCUGUAGCAGCCGCGGCACUUGGCUGUGGGACCAAGUACGGGCUGGGGGUUAAAGAGUAGCGCUGGCCUUGGUGGGAGAGGUCGUCAAAAGGGAGUAGGCUGGGUCAUGCAUGCCCUUGUCGCAUACCAGGUGGCGGGCUGCGUUGGCUGUUUUGAGGCUUUUUUUCAGGGUUGUAGCUUCUGUCUGAUAAUUGCACUAGUGGUGCUUGGUUGUCAUAGACAUAGGGCUUAGUGUGACCAGCAGGAGGAGCUUUGCUUCCUCCUAGGGGCAGCUGCCCUCAGUAUGUCUGGAAAAGGGUAGGAUUAGAUUACAUAUAAGGAAGACAUUUUUUAUUUCAAGGAUGGUGAUGCAUAGAAACGGGCUGCCUGGAGAAGUUGUGGCUUCCUCAUCCCAAAGCCAGGUUGGAUGGGGCUCUGAGCAACCUGGUCUAGUGGAAGGUAUCGCUGCCCACGGCAGGGGGUUGCAACUAGGUGGUCCUUAACAUCCCUUCCAACCCAAACCUAGGAUUCUGUGUCCAUAGAGUCAUAUAUCAGCCUUGAAAAAGCUGAGAGAAUGGAUGAGAUGUUGUAAGGCAUCUCAGCAGUUCACCUAACUUGCUUGCCCAUUAUCUUAGCUGUGCUUCCUGUCUGAUGUUGGUGUGGCUUAGCCAGAUGACUGGGUGCUGUCUUAGUUUCAGCAUACCUCUGGCUGGCAUCUAGGAGGUAGGCUAGAAUUUUGACCAGCAGGUUUUAGACUUUAUUGUACUGAACGUCAUCCCUGCUUUUGCUAGGCUUUUGUGUUGGGGCUUGGGAAAUGAUCUGCUCACCAAAAGAGAGAGUAAUCAAAGCUCUCUUAGGCUUAAGGGGACUGAAGUUCCCUGAAAUGAUGUAUAGAAGACUUUUAAUGUAAAGUCGAAGGGAGGAUGCUCAAGGUAUUGCAUGGCUUGUGAAAUAAUACCCUUUCUAGCUACAAGUGAUUCCUGUGAAAUAAAGCACUUUAUUAUCUCAAGAAGGUACUCAAUUGAAAGGAGUUGUGAAGAGUUUUACAGGCUUGCUCAUGUGUUAGCUAAAGUCCAGUAGUGGUACAGCUCAGGACAGAUGGGGCUGUGGGGUUUAUUUCAUACUUUGGCUCCUCUCGGAGGUAAGUAGGAUGUAUUUGCUCAGGAUAUUGCCUCACAAUAACUACACAGAUAGUGUGUUUGCCCCAGGAGACACUCGAGGAGGGAAGGGAGGAUGUCAUGAGAUGUUCUGUGAUGCAUUUGCUUCACCUGAACAUUGCAGCCUUUCAAAAUCUGCUGGUAUUACAGCAAUAUGUGCCAUUCUUCUGUGGCUUUAUAUGCAGCUCUCUUCAGCUAAAGAAUCAGAACCAGUUGCUUGCCAUCCAGUAAAAAGUCUAGUGUCCUGUAAGUGUUUCUCCUCAUGUCCAAGUUGUCCCAUUUUCCCAUAUUCAUGAGUAAAGAAAAAGAGAGGGUGGAAUGCUCUCUUGCUACUCUACCUUUCAUUAAUAGUUCCAUACAUCUGAAGAAUUCUGGAUUACAAGUACAGCCCUUUUUAUUUCUUUUCUGCUUCUUUUUCCUCUCUUUGCAGAUACCUUUAGAUUAGGUGAACUGUGGGUGAAAUAAAGGGGCAGUGGCAUGAUGACUUCACAGUUACAACAGUGUUCCACAAUAGACUUUAGCCCUAUGCUUUUAUCUGCACAGCUGAUACCUGGUACUGAUGGUAAGUAUUGCAGUGGAAUUCUAGGGUAGGCUCGAUUGUCUUUUCUAUAACUGGCAGCAGAAGCGUAUGUGAAAUCUGCAACCAGGAUGAUCUGCUGGUCUAAUGACAGUAUGUUUUGUUACUUAAACUGGUUUAGAAACAAUUGGUUUUAAACCACCUGCAGUGGUUUCCCUCUCUCCCUCCCCAUCCCACUGAAGUCAGUGCUGCUGCUCUGAGAAGUGCACCUCACUUUGCAGAUAGUUUUUCUUCAUUGUUUUUACCAUUGUUUAUACCUUAUUUCUUUAUCUGUAGAUGCCCUGAUGUCUCAGCAGAGAGUUCCCAUAGCAUAUCAAAAUGUAGGAAAAAGGAAAUGACUUCAGAAACUACCCAAGUGAAUGCCUGAUACAAGAGACAAGUAAAACAGUUUUCUCUGUGUGUGUGGUUCACUUCAAUCAGUUUGGGGUUGUCUGAUACUUGUCAGUGUAUGGAUUUUACUCAUUGAUGACAACCUGUUAGAACUGUUAAUGACAAAACCUGUUUUCUGUGUGUCAAACUCGGAUAGUAUGUCCACCUGAAAGCGCUAAUGCACAAGUCUCUCCUGACCAAACAGAUCUUAGUUGCAAGAUCCACAAGAAGCUUACAGUCCUAUUGCAGAAAUAAGCAUUUUCUUGGCAUUUCAUAUAAAAAUAUGUAAGGUGGUGAUAAAAUUGAAAGCCUGCCUUUGGCUUUUCUUAAACACAAAGGUAUGCUCUACUUUAAUGCUGUUAGUGAAAACUUACUCUGGUAUGUGUCUGGUCCUCAGCCUAUGAAGCUGAUAUGUUUGUACUUGAACUACUAUGCUGACAUCCUACACUGCAAAAACUAUGGAUUUUCUUUGCUACUGAAGUGAUUUUUGUCACUGUGGACUCAGGUAAGCAACCACCCAGUUUCCUGAAGACCUGGAGAAAGAGUUGGAAGAUCCUGCAGGAGAUGUGAGGAAGAGAAGGAUAAGUAGGAAUGUGUGAUGACUUAAAGAAGAAAUUGCUUAAUCAAAGUUUAAUUUAAGUUCAUAUGUAGAAACCUGUCUUUGUGUCUCAGCUUUCAUUCUGACAAGUUUCCUCUAAAUGAAAACGUCGAGGAUUUGGAUGCUCUACAUUGAGCAGUGAGUGGAUACUGUACUGCACCAGCUCUGCAGUCUGCAUGAGAUACACAGAUUUCGAGAUGAAGUGUACGAAUAGAUUAUUACGUAAUUUUUAAGGUGUCCGGUGUUAUAAUGCCACAGUGUCAACAUCCAUGGCAGCGCAGCACAGAGAACUGUCAAGGGUUAUCUUGGUUCUUGCAAACUCACUGUCAGACCUAACAUAAUUCCUGGUAUGCACAUUAGCAUUAGUGGAAUAUAGUUUGUAAGGAUUAUUGAUACCUUACAAGAGUACCUCUAUGCUACUCUUGCAAUGUGAGUUGUGUUUUAAAAUCCAAUUUUCUUAACUAUCCCAGCUGUAAAACUUGGUUGUCUACAGUCCCAACUGCUUAUUUCAAAGCCUCUGGUGGAAGGGUGUUAACUCUUUCACAUCAAAGUUACUGCUCAGAUGAUGGAGGAUGAAGAAGCUGCAAUGAAGUUUGGUUGGUUGGUUGGUUGCAAUUGUCUCCCAUGGAGCUGUUUCCUAAAAAGUUAUGGAGCUGCAAAGUGAAAGGUGAGAGGGUGAAUUUAGCUGGGUAGAAUAGGUAAGUAUUUCUAUAUCAUGUUACUGUUUCCAAGUAUAUUAAUCAUAGCACAGAAGAAUACAUUGUGUUGUCUUGGUUCUUUGACAGGGAGAGCUUGGAAAAACAAGAAAGAGUGGAAGGCUUCUGUGCCUUUUUUAAAUGUUUUCAAUGAAAUUGUGGGGAGGAAGCUGUUAAACCAGUAUCUGGAAGAGCCUAGUAUUCCUGCAUGGCAAAAGGAGUCUGUAAAGCUGCUCUGGAAAUAAUUCUAGUGACUAAUUAUGAAGUGUAACCUUUUUUUUUUGUGUGUGUCUUUCAGCACAAGAAGAGUGUUCUAAGAGCAGUCAAGAACCUUUUCAGUUAGCAUGAACAUGUUCUUCAACCAAAACGUGGCAGCAAUUCAAUAGCAGUUACACAACAGGAAAGGGUGUGCAGGCUACUGCAAGUCCCUGGUUUCAUAAGAUUUGGUAUCUGAAAGAACUCACUAGAGAGAAGAAUGUGGUUUUUUUCCACAACUUCUGUCUUGAGUUGAAAAGAGAGCUAAUACUGCAACAGGAGAUUGAUUUUAUGUAGAUACUGGAGAUGGUCAUCACAAUAUGCAGGACUUCAAAAUGUUAGGACACUGAAAAACUGCAGGUAGUUUGAGUACAAGAGACUCCAGGGCUCCAGCUGUGGGAAGUUCCCUCUUCAGAAGGCACACUAACAGUGGGGAAAACUUGCUAAACACAAGGAGACUCAAAACGUUCUGUGGCUGUGUCUUAGCUACACAUGGAUAUAUCUCUUAAGGUGGGAUGGUGUGACAUGACCACUGAAGACCAUAGGGCUGUAAGCAGACCACAUUUCUCUUACGAGCAUGUGUGCCACUAACCAGUUCAGAAGCACCCCAAAAGCUUCAGGUUUUGUCACAUAAUAGUAUUUCCUGGAACAAUAGCUUUUCUUUGUCCACCUCACUCCUGCAAAGCCAGCUGGCUCAUGGCAGCACUGCGGUGAAGAUACGCCUUCCACACCCACGAGUUGCUGAAGACUUGCAUAGAAAAUGACUCAGACAGGCUCCAGAGCUGAGCAUAAAUCUUUUGGCUCACACUGUUGUAGCUUUAAGAUACACGAGUGCUUCCAUGUGGAACCAGAAACACUCAGGCUGCGUGUUUAGAUGUACUUUGUGUUUGCACUGCCCUCUGCAGCACAAAGCUCGAUCAAGCCCUGUAUUGCAUAAAGCAGGUGGAGGUAUCGUGCUGAGACUGUGCUUGGGGUGGACCUCACUCAGUUGCCACUGAUCAUGGAAAGGUCUAUUUUUGUUGUGUAGGGGUAAACCUGAGUUGGUAACUGAUACUGCUCAGCUGAUGUGUGUGUCUGUGCCAGGCGAGCAGUCCAUGAGCUGACAAAUCUUUGACCAUGGUACUAGCUCUUAAUACUUCCAAAAUAAUAAAAAGGGGGGGGGGGCAAGGGGCAGCAGAGGAUUUUUUUAAGGGUCACAUAAGUUCUACUGAAAUUAAAAGCUCACUAAAAAUAUCUUUGUGGAAAGAGUACAUUUUAGGAAAUGAUGAUUCCUGUGACGAGAGCAAUGUGAGCCUUUAGUUAUGGCAAGCCUCCAGUGCUGUUCCUUGUCCCUGUUUUUGUGAGGUGUGGGUGAAAAGUGAACACAGAGUGAAAGCCAUAACCAGAGGUUAAAAUUUAAUUUUAGCAACCAUAGUUUUAAGUCAAAUGAUGCACCAUUAUUUAUUUUCUUAGAAAAUCCUGCAACUAAAUUGAUAGGCCGGAGUCUCUCAUUAGGCAUGCAAGUGUUCUCAGGUUCUCCAGCUAUUUGGGUGCAGUGGUGCAAAAUUUUGUGUUGCUUCCUGUAUGAUUCAGCUUAAAAUACUAGCUUAGGCAGGUGAGUACCUAAACAACAGUAUUGCAGUCAGAGCACUCCUUAGUGCACACAAACCAUUUCCUUUGGGUAAGUAAUGCCGCGCUGUGAGAAAGCACACAGCUUCUGGGACAGCAGCAUUUGAUAGCGUCUAUACCAGAAUUCCCUGGGUUUGCUCUUUUCCUUGGUCUCUUUACCCAGACUUUUAGCUUUUCUGUACAUUAUCACUACCUGACUCUUUUCUACCACCUCAUUAUUUUUGGGGGGGUUUUUUGCUAUUUUUUUUCCAAGUGCCUCUUCCUGAAAAACUGGCUACCACAGUGAGUACCACAGUUCCUGGACAAGUUUCCGCUCACAUGGUUUCACUUGCUUUAUUUUGCUAUUUACAUACAAAGUCCUAAGGAUAUAAUUUAGUGGACUGCUAGUGAGUAGCUAACAUUCAUGUCUUGACUGCAGUCUGCAUAGGUCAGGUUUGCACAAGCCUCCUGCUUAAUGAAUUCACUUCCUGUAAGCAGGACUAGUGAUAGCUCAAUGUAGUCGAGACGAAUCCCAGCAUGAACAGAGAGCUGGAGUAAGAUGUGGGGUUUUUUUCCUUACCAAGAGUACCAAUAUAUUUUCCUCUUAUGGAACUAAUUCUGACAUGCGGGGAGUUGUAUGUUACCCCUGCACACAUAGCCAAAUAUAAUUUUAUAUUUAAUGGCAGAGUAGGUCUGCAAAAGAGAGAAUUAGGUAUUAAAAUGUUCCACGUAUAAUAGAUGAAAAGCUAAUCCCAGUUUCCUCCUGCUACCAAUGAAAUUGGCUGCUCUGCCAUAAACUCUUGCUAUGCUAAUAUGAUUUACUGCUCCACUGUGAUAAUGGCGAAUGUUGCUCUCUGGUGAGGACAAUGUGGCGGCAGCUGUUUCAGAGUGAUGAGCAGCGGCUUCACUGUAUAUGCUCUGCUUUAGCAGAUGUCAGCUAAAACAGCAGUUGCAUCCCCCAAGAGUUAGAUUGUUGCUGUUGUUAACCUUUGUAGAGAAACACGCGAAGUACAGGCAGGUGCAAUUCUCAGGUGAAUUGGCAAGAGGGUGUUGCACAGCCAAGUGGGUACAGUGUCUCACCAGGGAGGAAUGGCAGGGAUGAGCUUUACUAGCUCAUAUCACUGAGGUCCAUUUGGCCUCUUUCAAAUUCCUGCCCACUGAAAGCUCCUCUGACCUCCAGGGUAGAUUGUGAUUGGAGUAACUGUUUUCUCAGUGCUGCAUCCUGGAAAAAAGGAGGUGAUGAAAUGGAGUUUUAGUAGGCCCAAUGAAAAUAAAUGGAUUUUCUUUUCAUUAUAAACAAUACAUUUAUACAGUAAUUUACAAGUAUUUUUGUAGUGUAAAUACACUUAUAAAUACAUAUCUGGAAAUUGUACAUAUAUGUAUAUAAAAGGUAUAUAUUUAAAUACAUUUGUAUACAUUAUUGUAUAAUAAUUCAUAAUUUAACACUUCAUAAAAUAUAAAUGAGUCAGUUGGGAGAAUCAUGGAAAAGUAGAGUAGUUUUGUCUUGCUGACAGACUCCUGGGAUAGAGAAGCUGUUUCCUCUUGAGCACAAAUCAAACAUGCAUGUCUGGUCCCCAACAAAUACAGUUUGUGUUAAUUAUUUUAUUAAAAUGUCCAAUCACAUCUGUCUUUUAAACUCUCAUCCUUGAGAAGGUUGUUUGGUUGUGGAUUAACCUUGUCAUGAGUAUUGAGGCAUGUGACAUGCUUGGCUAUGGAACCAGGUAUGUAUGGGGUCUCACAAGUUUCUGUCAACACUUGAGUGUUGUGGCUCUCUGAGAUGGAUACCAUUGCUGCCAUUCAUUCUGAGUGGUGUUGCAGCUUCGUUUGCACGGGUUUGAUGGUAUCUUGGGUAUCCCAGCCCUUUGCUAUAGGCAGUUCUCCAUUAUCAGAAGGUAAGUUUAGGUACAAAUCACUUCAGCCAAGAUGCUCGAUUUGGAAGAUACUGGAUUAGGAAGAUGCCUGCUUUAUUCUGUGGUAUGAGUACCACUCUUGGGUACUGUCGAUGUACCAGUCUUAUUCCUCCCAAAGGAAAUGUGCUCCCCGAGCUUUCCCUCUGCUAUGGUAGUGCUUUUAUGUGUGCAGUCUCCAGGUAACGUUCACCUCUGUGCAAUGCAAAAGGAUGGCUACUCCAGUCUUCCCUGAAUUUACUGCUCUGCAGUCAGUCACACAGCAGGAAAAGCAAAGCAUUAUUUUGUUCAUGUCCACCAUUGACAAAUGGCAUUUGGUUUUUGUCAUCAUUUUGUUUCUAUCUAGGUGUGUGCCAACACACAGGUUUUCCAUGCUUCCAUUUUUUUUCUUUUUCUAUCUCCUUGUCACCCACACAUAGUACCUCACACUCAGUAUUUAGUGUGAGAAGCCCUAGGAUAAUUAUCAUUUGUUAACUGUGUGAAGGUGAUGGUUCUGAUGGCUGCAGAAUUCCAGCUAUUGCAUCCCAUCAUUAUUAAGAAGAAAAAAGAGAGCUUGGAGGAAAGAGCCCUGCUUUCCUUCUUGAAUCUUGGGGCGGGGGGGGGGGGGGAAGAAGAGGGGACAGAUUAAUAACACUUUAAAAGUAGACAAAAAGUGCUUUUCCUGUGCUGAGUUUCAUAUUUUUAACGUUUGCAUUUUGAAAUUUCAGAGUAGCACUUUCUGUUUCCUAAACUGAUGACACCUGAGGAAAAACAGAUCUUUACAGCCAAUUGCCUCAAAUACUGCAAAGACAUAAGUGACAUUUUGCACAUGCCCUGUAAGUGCAGACCCAGUGUAUUGCUGGGAACCAACCUGUCACAGCUAAAGUACAAUAAUGCAAAAAGCCAUCAGCAGGCUGAGCAGACCCAGCCCUUCUUACAUGUUACUUCUACAGUGUUCUGUCUAAAAACUACUAUCCUUUGGAAAACUAGCUGACACAUUUUAAUGAGGAGAAUCAAAGUGCCUCUAUAGGGUUCCCCUAAUUUUAAUACAUUCAUAAUCAUAGAAAGAUUAUAUUGGAAGCCAUCUGUAGAUAAAUGUAACUUCUUGAGACAGCUUAAACUACUGAGCCAUUUUCACAUAGCCCAUUUUCAUAUAGCCCCUCAGCCAAAAUAAAAGGUGGCUUUCUGUUAGUUAUUUAGAAGACACUAAAAAUAAUAAAAGGAGCCCUGAUUUGAGAUAAAGUGAGUGCAUGCAGGUGGUUACACAAGUCAAUAUUCAGGCAGUGUUUGUGGUUUCUUAGCUCACCAGUUUUAUCUACAGAGCAGCAAAGAGAACAUGGAUUGUGUUAGCAAUCUUCUCCCAUGUGGCAGACGCUUGUAGGCCAUGGCUGUAAGUUGGAACCUGGGCUGGAUGCAGCCGUGAGAGGACUGAGGGAAUGGCAGAACCCAUAACACUAAUGGGCACAGAGAGGGUGUCCCUCGACCUUCCAUCUCCCGAGCUCCCCACCAGUUGCGUCACACCUCUGAAGUCUUCAGUGUAGCCAAAUACUAUGUGGCACUGCAAAAUGCAUGUCAGAGAUGUGGAUCUCUGCUGGUUCUGACGCUGGAGAGGCAGCUGUAGCUGUUGGCAGACUGUACCGGUGGGUCUCCGCCAGCAGAGGGUGGUUUUAAGACCGUUUACGUAUUGCUUUAAUGUUUAAACACUGUAUGGGCUGAAUAUUGAGCAUGAUGACCUUACUGCUUCCUUUGUUUCUUAAUACUUCAUCUUUAGUAAUUGUAAGAAGAAUCUAGAAAAGAUUUUUCUCAUUUUUUCUGUUGUUUUUGUUUGUUUGUUUGUUUUCCUCUGGCAUCAUUCUUCCAGGUAAGAAUAACCAAAAAUAACUAAAUUUAGGAAGACAGGUUUGAAAUAAUGUUGGUGAUGAUUUAGAACUACUUUAGCCUAGGACCAAAGUACUUGAAAUAAAUAAUCGAAUAAGUUGUUGGUGUUCUAGCAUUUAUUAGGGAUUGAAACAUAAGCCACUAACUGAAUGGAAGUCAUCUCGCUGAACUUCAGACACUCAGCAGGUGCCUCGUCUCAGUGUGGGCUUUCCUUGCACUCUGCGGAGAGGACUGCACACAUAUCAAGGUUGAUUUCAACACCUCUUAUGCUAAUUCAAGAGUCUUAAGUUUACAGAACUCAAGCUAGCAGAAGCCUGAUCCCAAACAGCAUUUGUGCCUGUAUUAUUAUCAUGUGGAGUCACACUAUGCACAACAGUUAAUGACUAGAUAGUUAAUUAUACAGGAAUAGGCUCAAUUCUUGCGCCUGCGUUGCAGGGAGGCAAAUUUGUCUCUUGAGAUGUCUUUUCCUUUCUGUUGACUACAGAGGGAGCAGAGGUUAGAACAGCUCAACAUUAGACAUCUGACCUACACAUCUAGCUGAGGUACAUCUCACCCGCUGUGCCUGCAGGCUGCUGCUACUACCAUUGGGUAAUACUCUGCCUCCUCUUUGAAGGUCUGUACACACUUAAUAGAUUUUAUGGAUCUGAUUUCACAUCCAAGGGAAUAAAGUGUGACAGUUAAAGCCAUGUAACUAGUAGAUAGUCAUUAACUUUUCUGAAAUCAGUAGAAUUCCCCAUAGGACCAAUUGCACAUGUAUAAGUAGUUCAGACUGUCGUUGACUGGAGACCUGUUGGGAAGCUGUACAUAAUAAAAGGUAGUAGUAAAUGAUGAUGGAAAAUGCAUCAUGUUCUAAUAUAUAGUGAUUUAUAUUCUGAAUUAGAUGUUCUGUUGAAAAUUUUCCUACACAUUUUUAAGUAGUUUUAAAAGGUUUGAACAAAAAUUCAACAAUUUCUGUCCUUGAUUUCCAUUUAUUUACCACUUGGAAACUAUUUUCAAAAUGGAAUUCCUAUCUAAAGGUCUUUAAUUAAAAAAAAAAAUCUGAGUACCAGCAAUCUUUUGAACUAUUUUGAACUAUAUUGCAGAAGUAUAGCACAGAUGAGGCCUUAGUAUUUCCUAGAGUAGGUAAAAUUCCUCUCUGUUUGCAGAAAUAGAGCAACCUAGUGACCAACUCCAGCAAAAGAUCAGAGAGGCAUCUUCCCACUGGCUACAAACUGCAGAUAACCUCUUGUUUUCCCUUCCACAAAACACAGGCAAUAUCAAACAUUAAUAGGAUUCACAUCUUCCUCAUCUGGAGGGAUUAAGCUUUAUGAACGUGUUUCCAAAGCCACAUGCAAGAAGUGUGUUUGAUGUAUUUAAAGACAGAGAAAUGCCUCAACAAUUAUUAAGGGAUUAGAGGAAAAGGUUCAGGAGGAUAAAAGAAGGUUAUUGCAAACACAAGGGUGUAUGCAUGACACCAUCAUACUCUGUGGCUCUUCCAGAAGUUUCCAGUCUACAACAGACUGUAGAGAGCCUUUUGCAGGAUUUAAUGUGCCCAGUACUUGUGCUCUGCUUAAGGUUAACAACAUGGAAAAUCUUAUGAUUCCUUGCUGUAAUGACCUGUUUGUAUACAGAUAGGCUUUCAACUUAUGGAAAUGCCCCAUGGUUUAUGAAAUAGCCUCUUCCUGUUUGCAAUGAUGCAGUGCAAUAUUGAGUCAUCUCUAACCUUUUACCCUUACAAGCUCUUUGUUGUUUGCGACCUGGCCCUUGAGAUUUGGACUGAUGGUACCAGACAGCAGUUUUUACUUGAACUAGUCCCAGUUUUACCAGCUUUGGAUGAAUUAUUGCACUUUCCUAGGAAAAAGGUUUGAUCUACAUCACUGCUGAUUUGAAUUGUAACAAAUUGCUAAAAAAUUACCUGUGUGUAGUUUGGGUUGAAAUAAUGAAUUCUUGAUUUUAGGGAUUAAUUGCAUUUCCUAUAUGCACCUAACUCUCCUUCCAUAGAGUAAAGAGUCCAGGGGCCAAGAAGUUCUGGAUGCAGAUGGAAAGUACAUACUGCAGUGUUCCACCAGAUUAUAUUUUCCUGUCUUUUGGAGAAAGCCCCUAAUGCCAGUGAAAUCUCAGCAAUAUGACACCUGACCCUUCAAGAGAUGAAAUAGAGUAAGUGAAAACAUAAGAUCUUUCAUCAGGUUUGCACAGUUGGGUAUUUUAUCCUUUCUCUACAGCAUAUAGCAGGGGCUUAGGUAAAGCAGGCUGGAUGGUCCUUCUAAUUCAUGGGGGGUUAGUUUAGUUUGACUCUGAAAACAUAUCUUGGCUGAAGAGCUGCAUUUCUAAUGGCUGUGCAGUGUGCUGGGUGUCCUGCCAAAUAGCUGGGGACUGCAGCACUAUGUUGUUAAUUCCUUUCUGCCAGUGAGACAUUCCUGUUCAUCUCUUGGACAGUGUCAUAAGUCACUUAUUGGUCUUGCCUGUUGCUGGACACAGCUGAUAUGGUGUGAACUCAGGCAUAGUGUGUAUGCGAGUAGCCAUCGUGCCUUCCUAGAACCAACUCAAUUUAGCUAUUAUCCUAUAGAGAAAGAGAAAAGAACAUUGAACAAGCCAAAUUACAUUGGUGGGGUAAAAGCUUUGAAAUGCAAUGACUUUAGAUAUUGACAACUGACAGUUGCUUCAUCAAGGCACAGAAUUUUUCAAAGUAUUUGACAAGGAAAAUACAGAUGCAACAUGAUGAAUUUUCUUGUGGAACAUUUUAAUGGAUAUGCUCAGCUUUCCCAGUGGGAUCUUACUUUCUUAGAGCAGAGAUUAGUCACCAUUUACUUGAUUUGUCUGAACUUUCUGCCAAAAUCAACAAGGAAGGAAUUGACAGGACGGACUUUAGAAACAAGGACGUUGUGACAUGUUUGAAGAGAACGCAUGCUCAGAGGAGGGUCUAAUUCUGUUUCAGAAAGCAGCUUCUUAUCAGCAAAACAAGCUCUACUCUUUCCUGUAUGUGUCUUGUCUCUGCCUUGCAGCAAUGCUGAGAUGUUUCAUCUUGUGGGAAGCCAAGGGAAAGCGAUUUACUAAAGGCAGAACAACUGUGCAAAUGCUAUUGCAACUCCAGUCAUUCUAUUGAAUUCAGCUAAGACAAGCACUAAAACCAGCUGUGACUGUAAGGGUUUGAAGUCUUUGCAGUUACUACAGGGUCUGUUCUCCUGAAUCAACACAUCCUGCAGCUUCUAUGAUAAAGGGAAGAAGUACAUACUGUACAGCAGCACAGGAAAAUACUACCCUGCUCUGUGGUCAUGGGUGACAUGGGGGAAGACAUGUCAGUCUCCCAAGGCAAGUCAAUAGGGCAAAACUUCAGUCAUUGAAAAAUGCCAUUUUUUAAUACACAAAAAUCAAACUUUGCAACGGAGAUGUGAGGCAGUGCACAGAGCAGUUGUAUCUUUCAGAAAUCUAACUGAACACAAGUAGCCAGGAGUCCAUGUACUAACUUAAAGCAGCAACGAUACCACUUCUCUCUCCAUUCUUCUCCUCGCUCUUCCCUGAAACACUGCAACCAAAACUGACAGCACACCACGUCUUCCCAAGCCUCAAUAUUCACUCACACAUAGAGGAGAACAUGGGAGGCUUUUUAAAAUCCCCCUGACAACUGGUACAAGAAAACUGUUUAACUAUUAGUGGAAUGUCCUCUCAUAAAAUGCCAAACAGUCUUGUGUUUUUCAGGUCAAAAGCUAACAAGAUGAACUGUGAGCUCUUAUUACUUUUCUGUUCAUCCACAGUAAAAAUAUAGAGUGCUUUAAAAAUGUUGAGAACAUGACAGUGAUUGACAAGAAAAGAAGGCAUGUAAGGAGAUACUGUGCUGAAGAAAUUUUAAUUAUUUUAAUUAUUUUUGUAAAACAAAAUUCAUACUGAUAGAGGUUCUUGCAUUUGCAGUGUCAGCCAGGAGCCAGGGCUGUUUUCUCAAACAAGACCCUUACACACUCUGCCUUGCACCCUUAUGAAAGAACACCUAAUUUGGUGUCUUGCAGGAUUAUAAUGUGAAUUCCUUAGUUAAUUGCUGAAGAUGCUGUUCCUCUGCCCUAUGCUUAGUGCACUGAUUUGCACGCUUACAAGACAAAAGCAAAUUGCAGAACAGAGAGAUUUGAAUGUAAACCCAUUGCUAAACUUUGGCCUGGAAGCAUCAAGUUGUUCUUCUGAUCAUUCACAUUUACAGAAGGUGAGUACAGAGGUAAGGAGCAAUAAAAGGGCAAGGCAAAUGAGAAGGACUCUAAAGCACCUCAGCAGAGCUAACCUGUUGGGCUAUUUAGUCACUGUGAUUUUCACCCUUUUAAAUGCUUGUCUCUUUGCACAAUUUGCAGCAUGGAGCCCUUUCUAACAGAUGCAGAGCUUCAACAAAGCAUAUUUGCUGCUCCUCUACCUGUUCAUGAGCUAGUGCAUGCAUUUUGCAGUUUCACAUAAUGUGGGUGAAACAAAUAGGUACCUUUAUACUUCCUUGUACCUGUGAUGGAAGCAGCGAGAGGAAAAAGGCAAAAGAAGAAGCCAGAAUUUCUGCUAUCAGGAAGAAAAUGCAGAUAGAGAGAAUCUAAAAAGAUUUUAUUUGAGCAACCUAUUAAUGUGCCUGCUUGCUUCUGAGUUCUGCUGCAGCUUACCAGCUCAUCAAUACAUAUAUAUUCUGCUUAUCUGCUGUAUUUACUUGGUGACUGGAUAAUUUAAACCUGCAAAUUUAUUGACUUAACUGAAAUUGCAGCCUAAAUCAUAUAAAAUACAAAGGAGAUAUAUAUAUAUAUAUUUGGAUUAUCAUGGGUCAGUUUUAUUAUGGGGCUAGAUUCUCUCUCCUUUCACAGCAUUGAAUUUCAAAGCAUUAGACACAGAAAUACAUGACUUUUACUCUUUGUCUAUUUAUGUUUAAAAUUAUGUCAAGAUACCCAAACAUGGUAUUGUCAUAUAUAAAGCCAGCUCAAAGCAAGAACUGGCUGUGACCAGGCCAGUAACAUGUCCAAAUUCUAUCUCACUUGGCACAUCUCCAAAUGCUGAUACUCACAGUAUAUCCCAGUAUCCAGAGAACAGUUUGUUAGUUCAUUAUGGAUUGUUUAUGAUUGACAAUAUUUACUGUAUGUACAUUUUGAACUAACACAGUGCUGCAAGCAGACAGGGAUAUUAGGCAGCUAUAUGUUCCUAUACUAUGCAGAUAAACUGUAGUUGGAGCUAUUUUCUUACUAGCAACUCAGGCAAACGGAUUGUAAAAGCACUUGGGUAUUAGCCUAGGACUUUUAUGAUGGUUGUGGAAAAGAACAUUCUGAAUACUUCUGUAAUCAUUCCCAUUUAGGUCAGCCAGUGAGUUGUUUUACGGUAGUGUCUAUGGAGUCCUCAAAAAGAUUGAACUUAGUUUGGCAUUUACUGAGGGAAAGGCAAGGGCUUUAGGCACCACCAGUAUGAAGAAGUCAUCAUGCUCAUAUCACUUUGUCUUCCAGCUUGGGGAACAGGCUGUCAGGCACAGAUCUGCUGUAGGGCACCUCUUUCAAGGCCACAUUCUCUGUCCCUUCCAUGUCCCCCACACCACUGUGCCACUAUUGUACUGAUGUGACUGAUGAGCAGGGUCUACUCAGACCAUCGAUGAAAGAAGUGCUGAUUCAUGAGGACCUUGUGCAGGACCCCUUGGGCAGGGUCUGCAGGGGUGCCAUGGCUUUAUGUGGCCCUUCCCACCCACCCUCAGCCAGUUCCCACCUCAAAACUUUUGCAGCACAGCCAAGAGAGCUUUCCUCUUCAGUAUACUGAAGUGAUUACUCUGCUAUAACAAAAAUAGGAUUUUUUUUCCAGGAACUGUAGCUAAAGGCACGUGUAUGCAACUGUGAAGCCUUGGAGAUCCUCUGGAGAUGGAUGCAGGCAGGGCAAUCCAGCUUGGAAGUCCCCAAGAGCAGCAUAACAAGUGUAUAAUCAUUAUGUCCUUCUACUUAUUCUGGCCUUGUAUAAGAUGAAGCUGUGUGUCAUAUACUUAAUAUUAAAUGGACUGAAAAGGUCA